rnacentral:rRNA from 1 species
GUAGCAAAAUCAUUUGUUUUUUAAUUGGAAACUGGAAUGAAAGGCCUAACAAAUGCAUAGAUUUUUAUUUUAAAAUAUUAAAAUUUUUAUUUUUUGUAAGAAUACAUAAAUAUUUAAAAGGGACGAUAAGACCCUAAAAGCUUUAUUAUUUAAAUUUUUGUUAUUAUUUGAAUUUGAUUAUUUGAUGUAUUUUAACUGGGGCGGUUGUUUUUAUAACAAAAAUUUUUUUUACAAAUAGGUCAAAAGGUCCUUAAAAUUAGGAUAGGUUGUUUAAGUUACUUUAGGGGUAACAGCGUAAUAAUAAUAGGGAGACCUUAUUUAUAUUAUUGAUUGCGACCUCGAUGUUGAAUUAAAUUUUUCCGUAUAAAGCAAAAAUUAUGUGUGAAAGUUUGUUCAACUUUUAAAAUUUU